rnacentral:rRNA from 8 species
AAACCAUUACCCUGGACGGUGGAUCACUUGGCUCGCGGGUCGAUGAAGAACGCAGUUAACUGCGCGUCAUAGUGUGAACUGCAGGACACAUUUGAACAUCGACACUUCGAACGC